AAGACUAUAGACCUGCGGAGUACCUGCGGAGGGAUCAUUACCAAUCAGCGGGAGGCCGCGAGGCCUCCCGUACUGCCUGUUUGGCCGCCUUAACUGCGCGGUCAACUGGUUAACCCUUUGUGAACCAAAAAACCUUUCGCUUCGGCAGCUGGGCCCUGACCGGCCUGUCAGCCUGCCGUUAGCACCCUUCAAAAACUUGUUGUCAAAACAUUGUCUGAUAACCAAAUUUUCGAAUGAAAA
rnacentral:misc_RNA from 1 species